UUUAUAAUAAAAGAGUACUGGGGAAGACUGUACAUUGAAAAAAUACAAAACAUUGCUGAGACAAAUUAAAAAUAAUCAACAAAAUGGAGAUCUAUACCAUGAUCGUGGAUUGGAAAAUUCAAUAUUGUUAAGAUGUCAAUUCUUCCCAAAUACAUGUACAAAUCCAACAUAAUCCCAAUCAAAAUCACAGCAGGUUUUUUUUUUGAGAAAUUAAUAAGCUGACCCUAACAUUUAGAUAGAAAUGCAAUUUUAAAAAGGAAAAAGUUGGAGAACUAUCUACUUUCAAGAUUUAUUCUAAAGUUACAGUAAUCAAGACAGUGUGGUAUUGGCAUAAUUAUAGAUCAAGAGAAUAAUAGAAUCCAGAAACACAUUCACAUAUAAUGUGGUCAACCAAUUUUCAACGAUUGUACCAAGACAAUUAAUUCAAUGGGGGAAAAGACAGUUACCACAAUGGAGCAUUUUUUGGCAUUCUGAAAAUGUUUUGUAACUCAAUUGUGGUGAUGGAUAUAUAGUUUCAUACAUUUGUCAAAACUCAGAGAAUGGUACAAUCAAAAUUGGCACAUUUUAUUACAUGUAAGUCAUACCUCAAAAAAGCUGAUUUGGUGACAAAGAUUUAUAUAUGUUGUUGACAGAAGAACAAAUCCAAAUGCUUAUUAAACAUGGAAAUAUAUUUAUCCCCAUAAAUAAUAAAGGAAGUACAAAUUAAAACAAAAAGCAUAUCACAGCCAUCAUAAGAGUAAAAAUCGCAGGGUCUGACAAUUCAAAAUCUAAUAAGGAUAUGAGAAAAUUCUAGACAGCAGUGUGAACUGCUACAUUUGCUUCAGACAGCAAUUUACCAAUAUCUGGUAAAGCUGAAAAAGCACACACUCUAUAACAACAAUUCCACUUCUAGGUAUAUAUCCUAGACAAAAUAUUGCACAUAUACAGAAGAAAACCAUACAAAAAUGUACAUUUUAGAUUACAUUGCUUGUAAUCAAAAAACUGGAAAUAAUAUAUUAAGAUGGGGAAAUACAUAAACUUUACAAUUCAUAAAAUGGUUAAAAUUAAAGAAAUAUAUAUAUACAGAAAGUUCAAAAAUACAAUUUUGAAGAAAAAAUCCUACAGUGACACAUUCAGUAUGAGAUCAUUUAUGUGGACUUAAAGCAUAUAAUAAAACAAUCUCUGAAAACAGAGAUUGGAUGGAUACGCACACCAAAUUUUAAUAAAGGUAUAAGUUGGACUAGGAGCAGAACAAAGGUGAUUUUAACUGUAUUUAUAAUAUUUUAAUUAUUUUAAAAUAGCUGAUGCAAAAAUGACAAAGGUUAGCAUUUAUUUAUUUUAGAUGGUUGAUCACACAUAUUUGAAUAUUAUUUUCUAAGUCUGUAGUUUUAAGCAUUUCAAAAUCUAAAGAAUAAUAAUUUUUAAAAGCUAUAAAAAUAUGAAUAAAGGACUAGAAAGCAGUAACUUUUCAUUAAUAUGCUGGAUUCUGAGACAACUUUAAACUCAACAGUAGUAUUUACCAUGGUGUCAAAUUAAGCAUUUAUCUUGAGUUCACAAACUGAGUUCACUAAUUUUGUCUCCGUUUUUCAAAUUUCUAGCAUUUAUAGACUACUAUAACAACCAUACUCUUUUAGGCUAAGUGUUGGAAAAUAGUAAUAGAUUUCUGGCUGUGUGACUAAAUAAAUCUUACUUUACUAACAUAACUCCAAGAUCACUAUUCAAGCUCAUCACUCCACUGUCCCUUCACGUGGUCAUCGUGCUCACCCACGAGGUGUCCAAGGCCAAAAGCCCAUCCCUAUUUAGAACUUUUUGGCUCCCAUGACCCUCUUUUCCAUUUGGCUUGUCUAUUACCCUGGCCAUUAUUUACACACUAAGGUUCAUUCUUCGAGUUCAUGAGAGAACUGUUUCUGGGGUCUUUAAAUUUUAAGAGGAAC
rnacentral:lncRNA from 1 species